rnacentral:lncRNA from 1 species
AGAAAUAUACACGCUUCCUGAUUUCACUUUUCUUUUUCACUUUAGUACUCUAUAGUUUAAAGUUUAUUAAUUUAGUAUUUUAUAAUUUUAUUUUUUCUUUUCAUCCGUCCUUAUGUUAACUUUCGGAUACUCACUUUAAUACUGAUGUAACGAAAAAAAAUCAGUGGAAGAAGAUAACAAAGAAUUAAAAUAAAAUUACAGGGUAUAAAAGUGAUAUACUGUAAAUCACAUAAUACUAAAAAUGAGAAAGUACAAAAUCACACGGGUACAAAAUCACAUGGGUGAUGUUUGAAGUUUUUUCUUUUUUAUAUAUAAUAACUCUCAGAAAAUUUAUAAUUUGUUUAAGCAAAAUUUUAAAAAUAUUU